GGCCCCGUAGUAUAGCCUGGAUAGUAUGAGAGCUUCCGGAGCUUUUGACCUGGGUUCGAAUCCCAGCGGGGUCA
rnacentral:tRNA from 1 species